AUUAAUAAGCGGAGGAAAAGAAACUAACGAGGAUUCCCUCAGUAACGGCGAGUGAAGCGGGAAGAGCCCAGCACCGAAUCCUCCGCCGUAAUGGCGGCAGGAACUGUGGUGUUAGGGACAGCCUAUGGGGAUCGGUCGGGGGUCCGAGUCCUCCUGAUCGGGGCUUCACCCAGAGCGGGUGUCAGGCCUCUACGGCGCCCGGCCGGUUCUCUAAGGUCGUCCUAGGAGUCGGGUUGUUUGAGAAUGCAGCCCAAAGCGGGUGGUAAACUCCAUCUAAGGCUAAAUACAGACACGAGUCCGAUAGCAACACAAGUACCGUGAGGGAAAGUUA
rnacentral:rRNA from 1 species